ensembl:lincRNA
AGGCUCCGGGCACCGGAUAAAAGCGGAGCUGGCGAGUCCGGCGCCGUCUCGAUGGAGGAGCGAGAAACGCAAGAGGUCGGGGGGAGAAGCCGCAGAAAAAAUUGCAGCCAUCGUCAGCGCCGCCUCCCUGCCACCGUGUAUGGGGUAAAAGCUGCCGUUGCCGCUGCCGGUGCAGUCGCUGCCGCCGCCUCCUAUACUUCUUAGCACCGGGGAAAGAUUCCCCGCCGCGGGACAGUGUGCUGGGCGGGGAGCGGGAGUUCGUUUGUGUGGCGGUGAUUAAACGAGGGAGGGACAGAGCUGGUUUCUCGAACCGAAAAGGGGAGGCCAAGGAAUAAAACAGGGUUCUCCACUAAAAUCACACAGCGAUUACGGAUCUGGCUUUGGGGGCCUUUCCCCGGAAUGGCGGUUUCCGUCUUCUUGGCCCGCAGCACGACCUUGGGUGCUCCGUAAGAGGAGUGGGGAGAGGCAGAGGCGGUGUCGGCAGCCAAUCGGCGUCUGGUGAUUUCUGUCGGGCGCGUAGGGAUUGGCUGACGAUGACCUCAUGCUGCAGCAGCGGGUGGGGCCAGAGUCGUCGGGGGUGGCUGUUGCAAAGGCAGAGAGUGAGAAGUGAUGACGGUGAUCGUUGUCGCCGCGUCUUCUGUGGAACCCAAGCAGUGCCGAAGGAAGUCGCAAGGCUCUUCCCCGACCUUUUGCUCCUCUCCCUGCGCGAGGUGAGGGCCCUGGCUCGGCCUCUGCGAGACUUUGGGGCGCUGGUGCGGCCGUGGAGGCGCAAUUUCUCCUGUGACUUUUGUAACUGCGUCAGGGCAAGAUGGCGCUGGGUCUCCUUGGGGCGCGGGGGGAGAGGCACGUCCACCGCCGCCGCAGCGCAUGUGACCGGCUGCAUUCCUGUGGGGUUUGGCGGGGACCCAGGCAGGGCGGGGGAGGGGACCGGGUUUGGGCGGAGGAGAUGGUGGUGCGGUCGGCGUUGGCUGCCCGAAGAGGAAGAGAUGACUGUUUGAAAGCUCUUCCCCUCCCCCACUCCCCGCAGCAGAACAGCUGCGGGACGGGGGGGGGGGGGGGGGGGGGGGAGCCCCUGAAAGGACACUCCUUUCGGGGUGUGCCAGCCACUGGUGGAGGAGAAGGUUUGACGCCUUCUUAUCUGCCUUUCUCCUUGCAAAGUAUGCUUACGUAAGGUGGCAGUUCCCUCCUGUAAGCCAACUAGGAGGCCCUGAGUGUCACUGGUAUGGGUAACAAGGACAGGUUAGGCUCUGAAGGCACCACGGGUAGGAGUGUUGAUUAUUUCAGACAAAACAUAAAGUUUGGGGGGUCUGAAUAGAAGACUACAGCAUUCUCAGAGUUUGAAAGCAAGUGAAUAACACCCAGGAACACUUAGGGUUUCUAGGCAGACAGCGAUUAAGGACUGCAUCACAGUCUGAACGGAAGGGCCCUGUCAAACCUUCUCCUUAGAUUCUUUGUGUUCAUUACCCUCCCUGUCUAUACAUCCCAUGAGAGAGUUUAAGUAAUCUUACUGGUGAGGGUUGCCUUUUCAAAUAUAAGUAUUCUUAGUAAUUUUAGUAUUUUGUUCUGUAUGAAACUGAAAGGUCAUUUUCUAUACUUCACGUUGCAUUUUGUCGUCCUUUUAAAAAUAAAAAAUGGAAUUACAAAUGCUUCUGGUAAAUAUUCGUUAAAGCUCUCUAUCCUGCGUCUUUAAAGCACAUUUGCAAUAGCAUAAAACGUAUUUUUAGUGGGACUUAGGGAUGGGAAUGAGGGCUCGAAUGGGUUUUGCUAUUUAAUAGCCUAGACUAGCUUGGAACUCAUACUCCUGCCCACCCUCCUAUUGCUAGGAUUACAGGCUCUGCCUGGGUACUAUUUCAACAAAACACUGUAUUUGGUGCUGAGAGAAAAUGAAUGCCUACUAGGCCUAGAAACUUCAUUAACCUGGGCCAUGGUUAUGUUAAUUUAUGUUUAUUUUUAGCGGUAGACUCUUUGUAGUUGGAAAUCAAGAUUUGGUUUGUAGCAUUUUUGUUAUUAGGUAACAAUGAGAAUGAGCGAAAGUCAGUAUUUUAAAUGGAGUUAUGUAUUACAAAGAGUUUAACAAAUUCAAAGCUUUUUGUUCCUGCUUAUCUAUUAAAAUGGACAUUUUGU